GGCAUGCGAGGUCGAGGUAACUUAGCGAGGUGAUAGGGUUCUGCCCUUUGCCUGGAAUAACACGAGAAACUUGGCUAAUCCGGAUAAUCUUUACGGAAAAGCUUUAUGCACCAUUGGAUGAGCCCGCUUGAUUAGUUUGUUGGUGGGGUAAGGCCUACCAAGACUAGAUCAUAGCUGAUUUGAGAGGUGAUCACCCUUGGGCUGAACACGCCAACUCCUACGGGAGGCAGCAGGGGGAAUCUUGCACUGGAGAAACUCUGAUGCAGCGAGCCGCGUGAGUGAAAAGGCCCUUGGUGUAAAGCUCUUUCGUCGGGAAAAAAUGACUGUACCCGAAUAAAAGGUCCGGUAACUUCGUGCCACAGCCGCGGUAAUACGAAGGGACCUAUAUUCGGAAUUACUGGGCUUAAAAGUUCGAGUGGUGAAAAAUUGUGGGAAUCCCAACUUAACUCUGGAACUGCAUUAAAACUUUUCAGCUAGAGUAUGAUAGAGGAAAGCGAAUUUCUAGUGUAGAGGUGAAAUUCGUAGAUAUUAGAAAGAAUACCAUUGCGAAGGCAGCUUUCUGGAUCAUUACUGACACUGAGGAACGAAGCAUGGGUAGCGAAGAGGAUUAGAUACCCUCGUAGUCCAUGCCGUAAACGAUGUGUGUUAGACGUUGAAAUUUAUUUUCAGUGUCGCAGCGAAAGCGAUAACACCCGCUGGGGAGUACGACCGCAAGGUUAAAACUCAAUGAAUGAGGGACCCGCACAAGUAGUGAGAUGUGGUUUAAUCAAGAUACGCCAAACCUUACCAACUUGACAUGUCGUCGCGACUCAAGAAUUAGAGUUUUCGUUCGCGACAAACACAGGGCUGCAUGGCUGUCGCAGCUCGGUGGAGAUGUUGUUAAGUCCCGCAACGAGCGACCUCUUUUAGGCAUCAUUAAGUCGGCUCUGAAAGACUGCAGUGAUAGCUUGGGUGACGUCAGUCAUUUGACCACCUACAGUACACGGCAAGCGGACUUGGCCAGAG
rnacentral:rRNA from 1 species